UUUUUAAAUAAGAAAAGAUGGAGAAGGAAAAAAAAAAAAAACUUUGGAUGGAUACAGAUGAACACUGCCUCUACAAUCCUGGUUGUACAAAUGGUGACUAAGAAUUAAAAGAAAGGACUUUCUAUUCCACAAUGGAGUUUUGGUUGUUUACAAACCACAUGGAUAUUUGUGGGCGCAUUUUUUUUUGUUCUUUCUUAUGAUUCCCACAGAAGUUGGGUGGGGUUUGCAAGUGCGCUUCUGCCAUAUGGACAUUGAAAUUUUUUUUUUUUUUUUUUUUUUAAAUGAAGAGUGGCGGGCAACAUAGACAAGAUUCACGGACUGUACUUUUUGUGAAUCCAGAGGACUUAGUGAUCAGCCACAUUGCUGAGGCAGAAACACAGAGGAGCAGCUCUGUUUCGUGGCCAAUGGAAUGCUUGGGUGGGGGGCUAAGCGAAACCCCGAAGGGAACUCUUGAGGGAGCGACUACAGGCCCUCGGAAGCACUCACAACCUGCCCUCUCCAACUCACCUAUGCACUUUUGUUCAUUCAAGCUGUGAGGUACCAUUUCGGGGAUGGGAGCACAAUUACAACAGGAGGAUUGCUGCGACUGUGGCAACGUCACCGAAAAGAUUCCCAAACUGAAAAAAAUAAACUAUAGAGAAGCUCAUCUUCUCGCUCCUCCUGUAUAUAAACAUAUUUUUGUAUUACUUUUCAAAGCAGAAAAAUUUGCAAACAUGAAGGAAAAUAGACAUUGAUGAAACGGAGUGAAUGUUCUUUGAGAAAAUGUUCUAUUUUUUUGAGAUGAACUCUUUGUGACUGCUUGCCAGUAAACCUGGAGUUAUUGGGAUGGAAGGGAAAAAUAAGUGGACUGAGGUGUUGAACUCAAUAAAGGGACUGAUGGAGGGGCAACCAAGUGGACGUUGCCAUGUCAUGAGUGUGUGAUCAACACAUAAAGGCUUUGAAGUGUUGGAAAGGACACUUGGACUCUGGAGCAGCAGAAUGACAGCUGAAGAGGAACAUUGGCUUUGGUGUCUGGCUGUGCUUUAUUUGCUGCCCUCUACCAAGAGGAUCAACAGCCAACCAACGCACCAGAUGACCUUAAUGCCCACUUUUGAACUUCAUCCUGAAGAAACUUCAUUUUGGACUCUGGGUUGGCAGACCCUCGGCAUUAUCAGUCGGACAGUUGUCAGACGACCGUACGGGUUCAUCACCUGUGGACCCAACCUGUGGUGGAAGUGUUCAAUUGGGAUUUUGGUCAGACUUUCUUUUUUUUUUUUCUCAGAGAUAAACCCUUCUGCAGCAUUAAUGUGGCACGAUGUCAGCCAGGAUGUCAUCAUCCGCUUCAGCGUUAACCUGACGGGAGGAAGCUGUGCGAAGGUUGUUGUGCCAGCUGGACAAGAAACCUGCCAAAAGUGUUGGCGGACAUGGCUGAGUUACAACUAAGCCAAUGAAGAAGAAGAAAAAUAAAAAUCCUGAAACUGGAUGAACUCUAACUGACUCAAAUACGCGCACGACAGAUUAACAAGAGUUGCAGACACGCUACGAUGCACACCCACAGCAAUACAAACAUGUUUCCAAUCGGCUUUGCUCUGAACCAACAACGUCUGAAUCAAAUAGGGCAAGAUGCGCUCGAGCAUCAACGCUCAUUAACACAAACUUUGAGUGCAUUGUAGAUAAUGUAAAAGUUUUGCUUUGAUUUCUGUCUGUGAGUUUUGUGUUGUUUCUUUGUUCAAUAUGCCUUAAAUUGUGUUAUUCAGCCACUCCUGGAUGACAAAGUGGAAUUUUUUUUUUUAGUUUUGAAGAAUUGUAAGUUGUAAACCACCUAGUCGAACUCUCCACUUCCUGUUUGCGAAGAACCGUAGCAACAGAAUUGCUGGCAAACAGGCCUUGUGGUGGGGGGAGUUUUUUUUUUUUUUUUUCUUUUUCUUUAUUAAAAUGAGUGGAUUUGUUCAUAUUUCCUGUUUUGAUGAUUGCUGAAGGUGCAGGCUCCAUAAAGGGCUGAAGUCUGUGCUGCAUGGAGCUGAGCUGACUGGGUGGAAUGUGCAUACUUGUUGGCGUUUGGUUAACAUUGACCAUUAUUGGCAUAUAUUGAAGUAAUCACAUAAGCCGGAGUGACAGAUUGAACAAAGAUGGACAUUUUCCUUCAAAUUCCUCUUUGGUAGACUUUGAUGUUUUUAUACUUUUGAGAUAAUGACUUUGGCUUGUAUAUGAACUGUGACCUGGUCGAUUGCACUGAAUACAUUCAACAUCAACCAGUCAGUUGCAUGUUACUUGGAAGAGGAGGGGAAGAAAAA